UGUGUGUGUGUGCGUGUGAGAAAUCAGGGCCCAAAGUUACGAGAGCGGAGCCUGAAGAUGGAGACGUCUGUCUGUCUGGUACCCAACAUGAGGGUCAAGAACCCACGGUGGGGGGCGCGAGGGUUCAUAUGAAGGGUCAAAGUGUGUGUUGAGCACGCUCCGUGGCACCCAGCCCUCAGCGGCCGGCGAGUCGCUGUUGGCCGGCCGGUAAACCAGACUCUGACCCUGCUGGUUGGACGCCAGAAUCUGAACCUUUUCCCCCCGGAACACAGAGAUUUCGUCCUCACGCACCGCCGCGAAGUCUUGCAGCACCAGAACCAGCUCCUGAAAGGACAGAGGUCACGAUGUCACCAAAACAAUCAAUCGAGAAAUCACUCUUGACUCUGAUCUAUGCGCCGAAAAUCCAAACCUGGUCGUCCUGCUCACUGUCAAGUGGAGGCUGAGUCGCGUGGCCGUUGGGCGUGGGUGUGGGCGGGGCUGACGGCGGCCGCCCCGAUGACAGUGGGCGGGUCACAGAGAUCCCGCCCUCCUUCCUCUGGUACUCAAUGGGAGACUGAAGAGCUGUAAACAGGAUCAGAUUAGAUUCGGAUUUAACAAAACCAGAUCAACUCCAAAUCAGACACCGGAGCACACAGGGACAUUCAAGAAAUUCAAGGACGUUUUCGAGGCCAAUGUGAGGAUGUACUCACCAGACAGAAAGUUGUUCUGGGCGUCCAGCAGCGCGCCGAUGGUCUCCACCCAGGUCAUCUUGAUGCUGGCGGAGGACGCCUGCAGGGUGAAGCGCUCAGCCGAGCCACGAGACCACAAGACGAACUUACAGGGUUCGCCGUCCACACUGUCCUGCAUCGCCAGGGUUGUUGGAGCCUUUCCGCAGAAGUUCGCUGAAGAUGACGAUCUGCUCGAACAGGAAAACCCUGCGCUCUUUACUGCGAGACAACACGCCUCCGUCCUGCUCCCAGACACAGAAGGUUUCCUGCUGCAGGAGCUUCCCCUGAGACAUCAGCUUCCCCUGGAGAGAGGUUUACCUCGUAUCCCUGCAGGCGUCCCAGGUUCAUCAUGUCGUUGCAGCGCUUUGGAACCAUUGACAUCAGCUCCACUGCUUUCUACACACACAAACACGCACACACAUCAGACACUACAAAUGCACUCGACCCACAUUUUUCCCUUAAAAACUUGUGAAACCGUCUAAUCACAGCGCAGCAUUCUGUGCGGUCCAAACUGACAUGUCACUCACCUCGAUCUCCUCGCAGUCCAGUCCGGCUUUGGACGUGUACUUGAGAAAAUCCUGAGAGAAGGAAGACAAGAACGUUGGGUCAGACAUGUGAUCUGAUGAUCUGAUCAGAUCAACCGAUCAGAUCAAUUGAUCAGUGUGUUGACGAGGUGGUGACAGACCUUGAGCAACAGCUGGUACUUUGUGAUUCUCUGGAUGGGUUUGAUCAGAUAAUCGCUGAUCGACAUCCUGCAGCUGAUCUCAUGCUGGAUCUCCUGCAGACAGACAGACAGACAGUAAGAGACAGACAGACAGACGGGCUCCUUAAUCAGCUGUCAGGGUUUUUUUUUUGAAGGUACCUGUUCUGUGGCUCAGAGGCUAAGAUAAAGUAUUUAUUUUUUAUGAUAUGUUAUCUAUAUCUUUUAUCAAAUAUACAGUACAUGUUCAUAAUAAAACACAGUUUUUAAUGGGAAAAGUGAAACAUGCAGACUUUUUACCUCGAAGAAGUUCUCGUACUCGAUGACGAUGAACUCUGACCUCGGCUUGUUCUGACAGUAAACCACAUACAUGUGCAGACGACGCUCCUACAAAACACACACACACAUAAUUUAGUAACAUAAUAUAGUUGUACUACUAAUAACGUAGUAGAUUAGUAAUAAUGUGGCAGUAAUGUAUAAGUAUUGCAGUAAUAAUGUAGUAUUAUUGACGCAGUACUCACGUGUCUGAUGAAGAGGUCGGCCAGCAGGUCGUGAUUCUGAACGCAGCGCUCCAACUCAAUCAGGAAGAAACUGAAACAGGAAACAUACAGCAGUGAGGAUCAGCUGUUACCUUCAGGGUGUUUCCGGUUCCAGAGCCGCUACGUUUGGGCCCUGGAGAGCCUACGGCACCCCCUGGAGCCCCGCCCAUUCCGUACACUGUGGGGGAGGUGGCACCUGCGAGAGGUCAAAACAAGGAGUGUGGCUGACCUGUGACCUCUGACCUGGUGGUGAUGUCAGAGAAGGACUCACCCUUCCCGGCGCUCACGGUGGACGAGGAGUUGGAGGAGGAGGUGGCGGUGGAGGAGUUGCAAGAGGACGAAGUGGUGGUGCAGGUAGAGGAGGUGCUGCAGGAGGUGGUGGAGGCCGGGAUGAGCCCCUCCAUGUCGGCUCCACUGUGGGAGUGCGACAGGCAGAGGGCACUCAUCGGCAGCAAACCCUCCUGCAGGGAAACACACAGCAUGGAAAAACACCAGCCGGGUCUCUCGGCCGAGCGCUCCACCAGCUCCACGGUCAGACCACAGCGAACGCUGAGCUCCCCUGGUCCGCCGGAGGAGAAAUCCAACAACACCACCACUAACUCACAGCCUCCAGACAGCUGCAGGGGUGAGACCGGUGACACGGGUGAGACCGGUGAGACAGGUUAUCUACCUCCGUCAAACUGAGGCUGUCUGACCUGACGGUGUCAAUUGACCUGUCACUGUCAAGUCAUCAUAAUAACAAUCACAUGACCUCAUCACUGCUACAGCUGACCAAGUGUGAACUUUCAAACUGUAAGAGGGAAAAUGUCCCGUGUGGCAGCACAGUUUUAUUUGAUAUAGUGAAAUGUGAUACUGAAGCAUUAAAAGGCAUUUUAUGAAUGUAACAUAACAUUUACCAUUAUAUAAUAAAACAUAACAUAAUAUAACAACAUCAUCUAUUAAUUGUACAUUUAUGUUAAAGACAAAAUCUUAAAGGACCAUAGCCUUAGAAUCAUAAACAGCUCUCUCUGCUGGUCAAACAGGAAACACCACUAGAUUUGGUUAAGAUCCAAGUGAUGCAAGUGCCAGAAGAGCCUCAUCUGAUUUUAAUAUUAAAUAACAAACAAUUUGUUAAUAGUCAAAUAUCAGACUGAUCCAUUUUAUUUUGUAUUGAUCCUAUUAAUGACUCCUUAUAAUAUAAUAAGACUUAGGUAUCAAUCCGGAGGAGUGAGACUCUGUUGGAGGCAGUAGAGUAAAAGGUCAGGAGGUCAUCGAUGUCGGCUCCAUUCAAUAUCUAAACCAAAAUUCGUUCCAUCCAAUAAAUGUAGAUAUAUUUCAGUUUGGACCAAAUGGACUCGCUCAAUCACUAAAUCUACUGUUACCAAUAAAACCACAACCGAUCCUUUUAAUCGUUCGAAUCAUGUGAUCAGCAAGCGAUCAGAGUAAUAUAUAUAUUCAUAGAUUAUCUUCUCCUGCAGCAGAUCUUAAAACACUGGAGGUUUUUUUUUUUGCGGAAACAAACCCAACAUGACAAAUGAGAAGCAUUUAAACCUUGAAACCUCCAUACAUCAUCCUGAUGUAUGUCCUCCACCCGUCCAAUCACAGCAGGGUGAGGGUUGUGUUGCUGAGCCCCGAUUGGCCCAACAAGAUGUAGAACACAUCAUGUGAUCUUGCACAAUGAGUCAAGAGCGUCACGGUUACUAAUGUGUGUGAGUGUGUGUGUGUGUUGACUUAUAGUUAACUCCAGCACAUGGGUUCCAGCUGGGGAGGGACACACACACACACACACACACACACACACACACACACAGUCCAUAGGGAAUUGUGGGGUGUUCCCCAUCCAAAUCGAACACAGCUGUGAUCAGUCUUACAGCUCGUAUCACACACAAAAAUAUGUUGGUCUAUUUUAUAUAUACAUAAGUAUAUAUGUAUAUAACAAUUGUCAAUGAUUACUAAGACGUCGUUAUCAAACCUUAUCUCAA